UAUUGAAUUGAAACAUCGAAGACAUAAGAAAGAUUACACCUAAAACGCUCAAGAAUUCCACUUUGAAUUUCUGCACGUCAAGCUUCUCUUCUUCUUCUCCUUGCUGCGGGCAGAGAUGGUUAAAGGGAUUUUUGGAUGUGGUUUUGGUUUAGGAAUGGAGUUAAGAUGAUAUGGUGGUUCGGCAAGGUGUAUGAAUGGUGGCUGGAAUGGAUGAUAGCUGCGGCAGAGAUGGGAAUAGGGUUUAGACGAUUUCUGAUUUUUGGAGAGGGGGAUUGAUGCGGCUCCGUGUAGAAAAUAAAUAUAUAUGCACUUAAAAACCCUAACAAAUCAGAUUAGGGUUUUUAGAAACCCAAAUCCACCAGAAAAAUAAGUUAAACAAUCAGAAAUUUGGUGAGAAAAAAGGGCCUAGGGUGCGGCAAGGAGUGGGCUAGGGUUAGGGCUUCUAGAAAGCCUUGCAAGGCAAGGAAAUUGGUGUUCUAGAAUGGG
rnacentral:lncRNA from 1 species